GCCGUAACUAUAACGGUCCUAAGGUAGCGAAAUUCCUUGUCGGGUAAGUUCCGACCUGCACGAAUGGCGUAAUGAUGGCCAGGCUGUCUCCACCCGAGACUCAGUGAAAUUGAACUCGCUGUGAAGAUGCAGUGUACCCGCGGCAAGACGGAAAGACCCCGUGAACCUUUACUAUAGCUUGACACUGAACAUUGAGCCUUGAUGUGUAGGAUAGGUGGGAGGCUUUGAAGUGUGGACGCCAGUCUGCAUGGAGCCGACCUUGAAAUACCACCCUUUAAUGUUUGAUGUUCUAACGUUGACCCGUAAUCCGGGUUGCGGACAGUGUCUGGUGGGUAGUUUGACUGGGGCGGUCUCCUCCUAAAGAGUAACGGAGGAGCACGAAGGUUGGCUAAUCCUGGUCGGACAUCAGGAGGUUAGUGCAAUGGCAUAAGCCAGCUUGACUGCGAGCGUGACGGCGCGAGCAGGUGCGAAAGCAGGUCAUAGUGAUCCGGUGGUUCUGAAUGGAAGGGCCAUCGCUCAACGGAUAAAAGGUACUCCGGGGAUAACAGGCUGAUACCGCCCAAGAGUUCAUAUCGACGGCGGUGUUUGGCACCUCGAUGUCGGCUCAUCACAUCCUGGGGCUGAAGUAGGUCCCAAGGGUAUGGCUGUUCGCCAUUUAAAGUGGUACGCGAGCUGGGUUUAGAACGUCGUGAGACAGUUCGGUCCCUAUCUGCCGUGGGCGCUGGAGAACUGAGGGGGGCUGCUCCUAGUACGAGAGGACCGGAGUGGACGCAUCACUGGUGUUCGGGUUGUCAUGCCAAUGGCACUGCCCGGUAGCUAAAUGCGGAAGAGAUAAGUGCUGAAAGCAUCUAAGCACGAAACUUGCCCCGAGAUGAGUUCUCCCUGACUCCUUGAGAGUCCUGAAGGAACGUUGAAGACGACGACGUUGAUAGGCCGGGUGUGUAAGCGCAGCGAUGCGUUGAGCUAACCGGUACUAAUGAACCGUGAGG
rnacentral:rRNA from 1 species